UCUGUGGUGUAUUCUGUAUUGGCAACAGUACAUUUUUGCGUUGCUCUUGCUCACGUUGAAUUUAUUGCGAGUACUUCUCUGUGCAGUUUGUCCUUUUGUUUGUAGUGGUCUACUUGAAUAUGUAAUUCUACAGUUUUAAGAUUUUACUUUCAACUUUCUAGUGUUAAAUAAAGUAAUUUCCGUAACUAACACCUACUUUAACAUCCCGUGUCAGGCACUUGUUAUUUGCUAACUAAACUAAGGAUUGAGUGUACAGCAAUUUCAAAUCAAUGUAUCAUUUGAGAUGUAAUUUUAGAUGUGUUUGGUGUUUGCAUUUUAUCAUUUAAGCAUUCGGUAGCUGUAGUAGUUGAGAACAUCUCACACAUCGAUGCCUAGUUCAGUAGAACUGUAGUGGUUAAUCCGGAUUCGCGAUCCACAUUUACUCAUUGUCAUCGUUGUGUUGCUUUAUGUUUUAACACAUUCAUACUGUUUUAUCGUGUUGGAGUAUUUUUAGAACUCGACUGUGGUAUUGAGUCUGAUGUCUCUGUAAACAUUAUACGAUUGUAAAUACUUACGCUGUUUUUAUUAUGAGUAAAUGAAUUAUUAAAGUGAGUUAUAAUUUGGAUGAAAAUUUCACCUGAAUGUGAUGAAAGUAACUUUGCUUAUGAAGUGGAAAAUUUUCAAGAGAAAUAAUAACAUAUUUAUGGUGCUAGUACCGCGGUGAAGGCGACGGCAUGUGGCACGGUGCGCGAGUGCUCCUACUCGCGGCGCUGGGGCUACUGGCCGGGCCUUCGGUCGCCGCACCCGCUAAAAAGUACAACCUUACCAUCGGAUACCUACCCUCCAUUAAAGGCGAGCACAGAGACAGACAGGGUCUCGCCAUCUCUGGGGCCCUUUCUAUGGCCCUCGAGGAGAUCAACAAUGGCACAGAUUUGCUACCCGACGUGCGACUGCUGCUGGAAUGGAAAGAUACGAAGUGCGACACGGUGACGGCCACGCGUCUGCUCACCGACAUGAGCUGUUCUGGAGUCGUCGCCUUCUUCGGCCCUGAGGGUCGCUGCCACACCGAGGCCAUCAUAGCCCAGUCUAGGAACUUACCAAUGAUAUCUUAUAAAUGUUCGGAUUACCAAACUUCAACGUUGUCGAACUUCGCAAGAUUGGAACCUCCGGAUACGCAGGCGACCAAAUCUGUCAUAUCGUUGCUUCGAUACUACAGAUGGAAUAAGUUCUCGAUCCUAUAUGAGGAGUCGUGGGUGACGGUGGCGUUGACGUUAGAGAACCACGCGAAGAAGAAUAACAUGACCGUGAACCAUCAGCGACCGGUCAUCGACGGUUUCAAGUGCUGCGAGGAGAAGAUGACUUGCUGCGCUCCUGGCUUCUGGUACCAGUUCAUACAGGACACUAAGAACAGGACUCGAAUAUAUGUGUUCUUGGGUUCAACCGCUGGCCUAAUAGAUAUGAUGACAGCCAUGGAAUCGUUGCAAUUAUUUGUGAAGGGAGAGUACAUGGUCAUAUUCGUCGACAUGAUGACUUACUCGCCGAAGGAGUCUUUAAAAUAUUUGAUAAAGACGGAGGACCGCGCGUCGAAGCUGGUGUGCCCCAACACGGCGGAGUUCCGCAAGCGCGCGCAGUCGCUGCUCGUCGUCGUGUCGUCGGAGCCCGAGGGCAGCUACGAGUACUUCACGGGCAAGGUGCGCGUCUACAACAGCAUGAAGCCCUUCGAGUUCCCGCUGCCCGCCGUCUUCGAGAAUAGGUUCAACAAGUUCGUGUCGAUAUAUGCCGCGUAUCUGUAUGAUUCUGUGAAGCUCUACGCGACCGCUCUACACAGUCUCAUAGAGGAGGAAACAACACAGAAAAAUGAAACUAUUACUUACCAAAAAUUAAUGAGCAUCGCUACCAGUGGAUCUGUUAUUGUUUCCAAAAUGAUUCGUAUAACUCCUUUUAAAAGUGUAUCUGGUAUGUCGAUUCGUUUGGACGAACGAGCAGACUCCGAGGGUAACUUCUCCGUGCUCGCCUUCAAACCCGCCAACUUCACGGAUGAUGACGUCAACUGCACAUACAGCAUGAUACCCGUCGGACACUUCCAACAGAGCAGUCGUGAAUUUCCCGAAUAUAAAUUAAAUCCCCGCCUGCCAAUCGACUGGCCGGAUAGCGUUAAGCCUGAAGACGAACCGUCAUGUGGUUUCCUUAAUGAAAAAUGUCCGAAGGAUGACUCACAGAUAACGUCCCUGGUAGUCGCGGGGACAUUAGCUGUGACAUUAUUCUGUGCCCUCGUAGUUACUAUAAGCAUUUAUAGAAAGUGGAAAAUAGAACAAGAGAUAGAAGGAUUAUUGUGGAAAAUAGACCAGCAAGAAAUAGCCGGCUACUUAGGUAGCGGUCUUAUGUUGUCGCCCAGUAAGUUAAGUUUAGCCAGUGGGAUAUCUUGUGAGAGCAGAUGUUGCACACAAAUAUUUACGACGACGGCGCAGUACAAGGGAAACGUAGUGAGAAUAAAGGAAUUGAAAUUCACUAAAAAGAAAGACAUAUCGCGCGACGUGAUGAAGGAGAUGCGCCUGCUGCGCGAGCUGCGCCACGACAACCUCAACUCCUUCAUCGGCGCCGUCAUCGAGCCGCUGCGCGUGCUGCUCAUCACCGACUACUGCGCCAAGGGGAGCUUGUAUGAUAUAAUUGAAAACGAAGAUAUAAAGCUGGAUAAGAUGUUUAUAUCUUCUCUGGUGCACGAUCUCAUCAAGGGUAUGAGUUUUAUUCACUCAUCGCCAUUAAUCUUCCACGGAAAUCUCAAGUCUUCGAAUUGCGUCGUCACAUCGAGGUGGAUGCUUCAGGUAACUGAUUUUGGACUCCACGAAUUAAGAUAUUGCGCUGAAAAUGAUUUCAUCGGGGAGCAUCAAUAUUAUAGAGGCUUAUUAUGGAAAUCGCCAGAGUUACUGCGACAGUUAGAUGAUCCAAACGGUACCGUCGGAGGAACGCAGAAAGGUGACGUUUAUGCUUUUGGCAUAAUUCUGUACGAAAUCAUCGCCCGACGAGGACCCUUCGGCGCGACCACUCUGGAGCCUAAAGACAUCGUGGAGCGCGUGAAGCGGCCGCGGCGCGAGGGCGAGGAGGCGUUCCGGCCCGACACGCGCGCGCUGGACGCCGACGACUACGUGCUGGCCUGCAUGCGCGACUGCUGGGCCGACGACCCCGCCGUGCGCCCCGACUUCCCCGCGCUGCGCACCCGCCUCAAGAAGAUGAAGUCCGGCAAAUCUAGAAAUAUUAUGGAUCAAAUGAUGGAUAUGAUGGAGAAGUACGCUAAUAAUUUAGAAGAACUAGUCAAUGAGAGAACGAGGCUACUGAUAGAAGAGAAGCAGAAGACCGAAGACUUGCUCCACAGAAUGCUACCAAAAUCAGUCGCUCGUCGGCUGACGACGGGCGAGGGCGUCGAGCCGGAGUCGUUCGACUCCGUCACGAUCUACUUCAGCGACAUCGUCGGCUUCACCGCCAUGUCCGCGGAGAGCACGCCGCUGCAGGUCGUCAACUUCCUUAACGACCUGUACACCGUGUUCGAUAGGAUCAUACGAGGCUACGACGUGUACAAGGUUGAAACCAUCGGUGAUGCUUAUAUGGUGGUGUCGGGCCUACCGAUAAGAAAUAACGAUAGACACGUAGGAGAAAUCGCAUCAAUGGCGCUGGAACUGCUAAAUGCUGUCAAGAGUCAUAAGAUAUCUCACAGACCGAACGAAGUUUUAAAGUUAAGGAUAGGGAUACACACAGGCGCGGUGGUGGCGGGCGUGGUGGGGCUGACCAUGCCGCGCUACUGCCUGUUCGGCGACACCGUGAACACGGCCUCGCGCAUGGAGUCCAACGGGGAGCCGCUGCGCAUACACAUCUCGCCGAGCUGCAAGCAGGCGCUCGACAAGCUGGGCGGGUACGUCGUGGAGCCGCGCGGGACUAUUCCCAUCAAGGGAAAAGGACAGCUCCAAACGUACUGGUUAGUCGGUGCGACGGAGAAGGCAAUACAGAAGAGGCCGGUAGAAGGGGAGGAACGCCCUCUGUUCUGUCGGCCCAGGAGAAGUCCUCGCUUGACGGAUUCCAGACAUCCCUCUAUUUCGGAGCUGCGAGGCGAGGCCCGCGUGCGCCAGCGCCUGCACAGCGGCGCGUCGCUGCCGCCGUCCGCGUCGCCCGCCGCGCGCCGCGCCGCGCUCGCGCCCACCUCCAGACGCGCACUGAGCUCGAUCGCGUCGUCGACGGCGUGCUCGGGCGCGGGCGAGGCGGGCGCGGCGCUGCGGCCGGCGCGCUCGCUGGACGUGCUGUCGGCGCGCGGCCGCCUGCGCCGCCACCACACCACGCGCUCGCUGGACGUGGAGGUGGCCAUCGCGACCGUCUCCUCCUCGCUCUUCAACGGCAACGCGUUCGGCCUGCCCGACGACCCGCCGCGCGCCGACGAGGACAGUCCGCUGCUGCGCAAGGCGAGCCUGUGUAACAAGCUGGACCGGCCGAAGCGCAAGGUACCCGACUCGGACUACAUCGAGUUCUACAAGAAGUGGCGCUCGCUGGAGAACGUGGCCGACGCGAAGAGCGGCGCCAAGAUGCCUCGCUUCGCGAUCCGCUCGUGGCUGCUGGGCAUCUUCGGCGGCGGCGCACGCAGCACGUCGUCGUCGCUGCGCCGCGCGCCGCACCUGCUCGACCGCGAGUCCGCCGUCUGAGCGCCGAACUUCCCCUCUAAGUGUAUAUUGCGCUAUAUGUAUAUGAAAUGCUGUUGUAAAUAAUAUGUAUCACAUUAACACUACCGAACGCCUAUUUGACGGCGUCACGUAAACGCGAAGCUUCCGCGUUCCCCGCAUCGGUAGAAGGCGCCCAGACUCGACCGAGUCGCGCUCGGCUCCGCACCGGUCC